UACGGAGGAGGCAAGCGUUAUCCGGAAUUAUUGGGCGUAAAGCGUCCGCAGGUGGCACUUCAAGUCUGUCGUCAAAGACUGGGGCUUAACCCUGGAAAGGCGGUGGAAACUGAAGCGCUAGAGUGCGGUAGGGGUAGAGGGAAUUCCCGGUGUAGCGGUGAAAUGCGUAGAGAUCGGGAGGAACACCUGUGGCGAAAGCGGCUCACUGGACCAUAACUGACGCUGAUGCGCGAAAGCUAGGGGAGCGAAUGGG
rnacentral:rRNA from 1 species